UACGAAUGGGACGGCAGUUGUCCAUGUCCAGUGGUCGUGGUGACGGUGAGGGUGGUGGUGCUGGCGGUGGUUAUACUGUCCCGUACACACACACACACACACACACACACACACACAGCCAUAAACCUUCAAAAUACACUCUUAUAUACGGAAAACACUCGUAAGCAUACUGAAAACACCCACAAACACAUCCAAAAAAAACACACACACACACAGACAUAAACCCUGAAAAGACACUCUUAUAUACGGAAAACACUCGUAAGCAUACUGAAAACACCCACAAACACAUCCAAAACACACACACACAAGUGAUGUGUUGCUAUAUCACCAACAGUUUUCAAGCAGCACCAAUCACCAACUACCAAACGACAAGACAAGCAGUGCGGCCUUCACCACAACCUCCACACUGCCUUAUCUUCAUGAAUUAAAGGCUCAGACGUGAAGACGGAAGCAAUACAAGGAAGAAUACGGAGAAAUAAAGGAGGAGGACGAAGAAAAAACGAGAAAUAGAGGCGGAAUAGGAGAAGAAACCAAGGUGGAAUAUUUAGACGGACCUGCAGACGACCCCCGCACGGAAGACCAACGACUUACGUGCCUCAGACCGUCAGUUCUCGUAAGGGCGGUGUGAAUGGCAUCCCGAAGCAGCGCAUGUGUGACGGCUUCAGUGACUACUGCAGUAACGGAGAGGAUGAGUUUGUGCAGCUGUGUGGCAUUGACGAGUGCCGGGAGAAGAAUGUCGGGUGUGUGUGCAUCAACACUCCAGAGUCAUACU